GUAUGAAGUCAAGUACAUCCCUAAUGCCCUGAUUGUCCAUAUUGGUGACCAAAUUGAGAUAGUAAGCAAUGGAAAGUACAAGGCUGUGUACCAUAGAUCAACAGUAAACAAGGAGACAACAAGAAUGUCAUGGCCAGUGUUCAUUGAACCCUCGCCGGAGGUCGAAGUUGGGCCACAUCCAAUGCUCAUCGACGACGAAAAUCCACCAAAAUAC
rnacentral:misc_RNA from 1 species